ACAGAGGUCUCAAGCGUUGUUCGGAAUCACUGGGCGUAAAGGGUGCGUAGGCCGCACGGUAAGUCAGAGGUGAAAUCCCGGAGCUCAACUUCGGAAUUGCCUCCGAUACUGCCGUGCUUGAGGACUGGAGAGGAGAUUGGAAUUCACAGUGGAGCAGUGAAAUGCGUAGAUAUUGUGAGGAACACUAGUGGCGAAGGCGAAUCUCUGGACAGUUCCUGACGCUGAGGCACGAAGGCCAGGGGAGCAAACGGGAUUAGAUACCCCGGUAGUCCUGGCAGUAAACGGUGCACGCUUGGUGUGGCGGGAUUCGACCCCCGCUGUGCCGGAGCUAACGCGUUAAGCGUGCCGCCUGGGAAGUACGGUCGCAAGAUUA
rnacentral:rRNA from 1 species